GGAAAAAAGUAAUGCCUUUGAGACUAUGCUCAACAUUUACAUAUACAUAUGCAUAUGUACAUACAAACAUCAAACAGUGAAUUAAAGUCAGAUGUUAAUAUAAUUUCGAAGGGAUGUUUCAUACUUAGAGAAGAAGGUAUGUGUGAUUUGGGAAUUCGUUAUUAGCAUCAAAGCCAUUUGGCUUUUUCCAUGGCCCUAAAGCUAUCUGUCUAAAAAGAAUAUCAAAAAGUUGCAUGUAGUUGAUUUACCACAUAAUAUAACUAGAUAUGAAAAGCUUCGCCACACUAAGACAUUUUUUAUUGCUGGUUUUUCCUACAUUCUUGUAUGGUCCAACCUUUCUAAAAAUAUUUGAUUUCGCUGAGUCAGGCAUUGGACAAUGGCACGUUUUAAAAAUAAAACUUAUCAGAUAAUUUGUUUUCCUUUUCUUCAUUAAAAGUAAAAGCAGAAGUAUCGGUAAAAACUCUCUAAUAGCACACCGUCGAUUAUAAAUUUGUUCAGCACUUUGCUACGCUCAAAUAAGGAAGCCUCUUUAUCUACUUAAAAUGUUCUUAUAAACUUUUCCAUUACUUACAUUCCUACUGUGUGCCAUGCCAUACAUAAGUACAUAUGUACAUAUGUAUACCUGAAUAAAAAAAUCAUCAGCCAGCAGACUGAACUUUUUAAUGUGAACUGGAAUACCGGGCAAUGACUUUUGUAGUUACGAAUUUUCUUAGUACAAUGAAAAACAGAGCUGCGAUUUCAGAACAUUCCGUACGAGCAUGGAAUCAAUCGAAAACGAUGUAUAAUAUCAGGUAUAUACUCGUAUGUAAUCAAUUCUUGAUUCUAACGUCGCGCAAUCGACACGAUGAAUCGCUAAUUGGGGAAACAGCAAUGGGACAGCACCGUCAAUUAAAAUCAAGUGUAAAUUUAUUUGUAUCACCUUGCGCAUGUUUUAAUUAAAGAUUCUGGAGAUGUUACUGGAAAGAAACUACAA